GCGAACGCAGUGAGAAAGACAAGUAACUCUAAAUGCGCCUAAAAGCGAGCUCCGUGUGGUGAAAGGGAGCAGGUCGACUUUAGAGUGAAAAAUCACUUUCGAGCGUUGUGUCGAACGAAAGUUUUUUAGUAGAUACUCUGGGUACACCCAUUACAGUGUUAGCAUAUCGCCCUAUUCUAGAUCACGGGCCGUAUGUGAAAGGUGAACGUAGCGAGGCGUUCAUAAAACAAGGUGGUACCACGCUCGACAGGCGUCCUUGGA
rnacentral:ncRNA from 1 species